rnacentral:tRNA from 18 species
GCCGCCGUAGCUCAGCCCGGGAGAGCGCCCGGCUGAAGACCGGGUUGUCCGGGGUUCAAGUCCCCGCGGCGGCA